UUAUUUAUUCUGUCCUUCAUUCUUGUUCCAGGAACAGGAGGAAAGAAUUGACCAAUUAGAACAAUUUGUAAAAAUAAUUGUAUAAAUCAGCUUGUUAUACACAACUGAUGCAAAAUUAAUUAAAAUAAAUUCUUGCAAAAAUACCUGCGACAACUAAAAACCUGAUUUUGAGUUUUAUAAACAAAAUGUGAGUUAAAUAUGCGAGCAAAUAAAAUAUAAAUAAUAUCUGAACAUACACCGCAGUGAUGCAAGUUUAUAUUGCAGUUAGAAAUUACAAUAAAUUGAUAAAAAAGGAAAGUUUGAAUUUAUCAAAUAAGUAUAUGUAGUAAUGGAACGGUUUGUAAAUAAUUUAAAAUAUUUUCUAGCUCCAAAUUGACAUUCAGUUUAGAUUAUUAAUUAAUCAUGAACACAAGUGUAGAAAUUUGUUGUAAAUGUUUUGAAUAAAAAUUUUCUUUUUUAAUUAAUUUCCUGUUACCGGUGUUAAAGCAUUUUGAGUAUCUUAAGAUAUCAUUCGAUGAAUUUCUGCCUACUGUAAACUUCCAAACAUCGACUGUUCUAGCUGCUGACUUUUUCAAACAUCACUUACAUGGUCUUUGAACAACUCGUGCCUCAAGUGAAGAUCUGCAUUUUUAAAUAUUUCCACCCUCUGCUGAAACAUGAAAAUGUUUCAGAAAUAUGGUAGCGUGUAACAGCGAAAGGGAAGUCCACUUCAGAUUUCACACAACAGAAACUGCCCGGUCAAAUCAAUUGAAAAUGAACAUCAAGCGCCUGUAGAGUUUCCUUAAGAGUCUGUUCGGCUCUUAAAUUUCAAAGCCUCGCCUUACUAAAAAAGAAACGAGAAUUUUGCUAGGUGAGAAAUAUACUUUUAUCGACAGAAUGCAGUGAUGACACACAAAGAAGGAAUAGAAACAAUAAUUUUUCGUCCCUCAGCUUAAAGUUACUACUCCAUGGUUCAGCGUGGCCUAUUCGAUGAUGCCAUCGUGUACAUAGGACAAGUCAGCUCCACCACCACCACCAUGCAUCGUUUGUGGUCUGGAACGCUUGACGAUAUAAACAUUAUCCGUUAACACAGGAAGAGCAGCAUUGGUGUUGAUAGCAUUUAAGAAAUUUGUAAUGUAUGUUACUGGUACCGCACCGCAUCCGAUUGAUUUCACCCAGUUAAUUGUAACAUUGAAAAACUUUCUUUCAACAAUUCUACCGAAUUCGGGAUCCUCUGCAUCUUCGGCAAUAGCUGUUUCGGCAAUAAAAUGAGGACUGGACAUGUUUAAAUCGUCCAAAACCUGAAGAGAAAAAAAACAAAAAUUCUAAUUUGAACAUUUACAUUUCUUAUGGAGAGCUCUACCUGUCGAAUUCGAACGUGUGAGUAUUCGUGGAGUGUAACUGUCACUAUGUCCAUCAGCAAUAUGUCUUCUAUUUCGUCGGCAGAUAGUGCUGGAUUUGGAUUAUGAUGUAGUUGGGACGCUUUCAGAUUGAAAUAGCCCUCGUUUAUGUAUACACAAUUGAUUCCAGCGAAUCCACGCAAUUCUGCCUCCGUCGUAACAACGAAUUUGAUGGAAACUUUAAUUGAAUCAGUUUCUUCGAUUCGUUCUGAAUAUUCAGUGCCGAAUGUUCGUUUCAUGAGAUCAUUUAUCGUCGUGUUAAUCUGAAAAUUAGCCAACGACGUUCGCUACGCUCUUAACUCGUUUACGUUUUACUUAUACUUCACUGUGUGCCAAUACUUUAUAUGCAACAUCUUGCCAUUUAUUAAGCUGAUCCGUGUAUUCGGUUAUAAUACUCAUUCGUUCGAAAUGUUUACAAUACAAAGCCGACUCAUAAAUUGAUAGCUUCAUUUUCGUAAUAUGCACCAAUAACAUUAACUGAGCUUGUGAGUCCGGAUCGUCUAAGUUUUUUGUGGUGACACUCUUUAUGGCAUUGAGACCGUAUUUGGGAUACUUGGCGUUGUCAGUAUAUUUGCAAAGAUUCUGAAUUAUAACGCAAGACAUAUUCCUGCAAUACUUUGUACGUCACCGAAAAUUAUAAAGUAAAAUGAUGUAAACCUACCUAAGGGCAAUCUGAGGAUUGGAAUACUUCAGUGGUAUC